AUGUUUCAUAUUCAAUAUACAUUAACAUUCAUACAUACCAAGAGACUUCAAAAAGUUCAUGGGAAUGUAAUUAAAAGGGAAGACUUCAUGUCAAGACUGGAGUUCCAGAUAGAGUUUCAGACAAAUAUAAUCUUAUCACAACAUUAUUGGAAGAAAGUUCUCUAUGGAUCGCAACAUACCUCUGCACAGCUUGUGAGAAGGGGCACUGAUCACCUCAUUCUGCGUUAUCUUACCAAGGGACCCUGUACAGAAAAUGGCUUUGAAAGAUGGCGACAGCGCUCUUCCCACCACACGUGCAUCUUGAAUAAAUGACAGGUGAGUUUCUCAUCUAAGAAAACAAAGGUUUCUCUGAAGUAAAAUCAGACAUUCUUGCUGCCCAGUAUGAAAGAUUAGAUUCCUGAACGAAAGGCAAAACACCAUGACAGCAGGUGUCACUUGUCACCUUGGCGUUACCCCGUGGGAACUGGCUUUCAGAGAACAUGGCUGUUGCUGUUGCUCUAAGUUUCUUCACCUCUGAUCCAGGAGUUUCAUUUCUGCUGGCGCUCACUGUACUUGUGAGAGGGCAAGUCGGAUAAAACUUCAGACCCCUCACACGUACUGGCAGUCAUCUUGCUUGCAUUAACUGUUUUUAGCUAGGUACAUUUCUUUUCCAACAAUAUAGACAUUCAAGCGAUCUAUAUACCCUGCAUGUCCAUGCU
rnacentral:lncRNA from 1 species